CCGGUGACCGGCGCACGGGUGAGUAACACGUAUGCAACCUGCCCUCCGCAGGGGGAUAACCCGGAGAAAUCCGGACUAAUACCGCGUGGUACACCAGUGGGGCAUCCCACGGGUGUUAAAAGGAGGCGAUUCCGGCGGAGGAUGGGCAUGCGGCUCAUUAGCUUGUUGGCGGGGUAACGGCCCACCAAGGCGACGAUGCGUAGGGGUUCUGAGAGGAAGGUCCCCCACACUGGUACUGAGACACGGACCAGACUCCUACGGGAGGCAGCAG
rnacentral:rRNA from 1 species